rnacentral:rRNA from 1 species
GUGCCAGCCGCCGCGGUAAUACGGAGGAUGCGAGCGUUAUCCGGAUUUAUUGGGUUUAAAGGGUGCGUAGGCGGUUUCUUAAGUCAGCGGUAAAAUUUCUACGCUCAACGUAGUCGUGCCGUUGAAACUGGGGGACUUGAGUCUAGAUGAAGUGGGCGGAAUUUGUAGUGUAGCGGUGAAAUGCAUAGAUAUUACAAGGAACUCCGAUUGCGCAGGCAGCUCACUAAGCUAUCACUGACGCUGAAGCACGAAAGCGUGGGUAUCAAACAGGAUUAGAUACCCUGGUAGUCCACGCAGUAAACGAUGAUUACUCGCUGUCUGCGAUAUACAGUAGGCGGCUUAGCGAAAGCGUUAAGUAAUCCACCUGGGGAGUACGCCGGCAACGGUGAAACUCAAAGAAAUUGGCGG